rnacentral:rRNA from 2 species
ACGUCGUGAGACAGUUCGGUCCCUAUCUGCCGUGGGCGCUGGAGAAUUGAGGGGGGCUGCUCCUAGUACGAGAGGACCGGAGUGGACGCAUCACUGGUGUUCGGGUUGUCAUGCCAAUGGCACUGCCCGGUAGCUAAAUGCGGAAGAGAUAAGUGCUGAAAGCAUCUAAGCACGAAACUUGCCCCGAGAUGAGUUCUCCCUGAGACUAUAAGUCUCCUGAAGGAACGUUGAAGACGACGACGUUGAUAGGCCGGGUGUGUAAGCGCAGCGAUGCGUUGAGCUAACCGGUACUAAUGAACCGUGAGGCUUAACCUU